UGUAUUUAGAGGUCUAUAACUCUAGGGUGGGGCGUACACAAAGUUCCAAGAGUUACAGAUAAAAUUUAUUGAGUUUGUCAAUAGUUCAUGUUGAGACAUGGCCCAAACUCCUACGGGAGGCAGCAGUGGGUAAUUUUCCGCAAUUCUUGAAAUCCUAAUGGAGCAAUGCCAUGUGAAGGAAAAAGGCCCAUGGGUCAUGAAUUGUUUUUUUCUAGGAAUAAGCAAUGAUGGUAUCUAAGUAAUAAUCAUCGACUAACUCCAUUCUAGAAACCAUGGUAAGACAGAGGAUCAAAGCAUUAUCCUAAAUGAUUAGGUGUAAACCAUUUGCAGGUGGAUUUUCAAUUCCUCUAUAAAAUCCCAAGGCUCAUCCCUGGAUAGGCAAUGGAAACUACCAAGCUAGAGUAAUGUAUCCUAACCUGGUGUAGUUAAUGUGUUAAGUAUCCUUCUUGGGGAGUACGUUUCCAAUAAUGAAACUCAAAGAAAUUGAUGGGGGCCUGCACAAAUGGUGGAUAAUGUGGUUCAAUUUGAUGCAAAUUGAAGAACCUUACAAGGGUUUGACAUUUUGUGAGUCCUCAUGAAAGAGAGGAUUGCCUUCAAGAAUGUGGAAACAUGUGGUGCAUGGAUAUCAUAGUCUCAUGUCAUAAUUUGUUGGGUUAAUUCCUACAAUGAGGGCAAUGCUUGUGUUUAGUUUCUAGCACUGGUUUUGGAACUUUGAAUACACUGUCAAUGAUAAGUCGAAGAAAGGUGAGGAUGACAUCAAGUCAUCAUUCCCCUUAUUCCCUAGGAUACACACGUGCUAUAAUGAAUGGAACAAAGGGUCACAACCCCACAAGGAAAUUUUAACCUCAAAAACCUGGCCUUAAUUUAGAUUGCAGGCUUCAACUCUCCUGCAUGAAGCCAUAAUCUCUAGUAAUCAUUGAUCAUCCAUAGAGUAGUGAAUUUGCUCUCGAGACUUGUACACACUUCCCCUCACACUAUUGGAGUGGGUCAUGCCCCAAGUCAUUACCUUAACCACGAGGAAGGGGAUUCCAAAGGAUAGGCUAGUGACUAGAGUGAAUUCAUAACAAGGUAGUCAUACUAGAAUAUGCAGAUGCAUCACCUCCUAU
rnacentral:rRNA from 1 species